rnacentral:rRNA from 1 species
UACGAAGGGGGCUAGCGUUGUUCGGAAUCACUGGGCGUAAAGGGCGCGUAGGCGGCCGAUCAAGUCGGGGGUGAAAGCCUGUGGCUCAACCACAGAAUUGCCUUCGAUACUGUUUGGCUUGAGACCGGAAGAGGUUAGUGGAACUGCGAGUGUAGAGGUGAAAUUCGUAGAUAUUCGCAAGAACACCAGUGGCGAAGGCGGCUCACUGGCCCGAUACUGACGCUGAGGUGCGAAAGCGUGGGGAGCAAACAGGG